rnacentral:lncRNA from 1 species
GGUGUGAAAAUAAUUGUGUUAUGUUAAUUAAUCAUCAUCAAUUGUUAUAUCAUUAUGUGAAAUUAUUGUUGUUUUAUCAUUAGGAAUGAUAUUAAAGGGUGAAUUGAUGAAAAAAUGAUUUUUUUUGUUGUUGUUGUCUAAUUUGUGAUUCAAUAAUUCCAAGAUGUAGUUACAAGAAUGAGAUAACAUAACAAAAUUAUGAAUUAUCAUUGGAUAUGUAAUGUGAGCUUAAAAUAAGCCACCGGGUUUGGUCUGGUGGUGAGGGAUUUGGGUAGUAUGCAUCUGGUAGUAAGUUCAAUCCUCGUUGCCAACAUUGUAAACAAAAAAAAAAAUGUGAGCUUAAAAUUGGUUUACAUAGAAGGUGCAUUCACUUUGGUCUUAAUUAACCCUCUGAUUCAUAUGGGAAGGGGUUUGGUAAUCCGAAGUUUCGGUCUGGAGGUAAGUAAAUUCUUGUCAAGAAUUAUCCUGAAGGUUCUUAAAUGGAGUUCAUCAACCGCUCGAGCUCAAUCAAAGGAUUAUAUUACCUUUAAAUUCAAAUUAUUAAGAAUAUAUGUUUCAAAACUAAAUUGCUUGAGUGUAUUUUAAUGUGAGUUUUCAUUGGUGAAUGAGCUUUUAGAGUUUGUGGAUUGUUGUGGAUUAAGGCUCUCUGAUUAGGUAGCUAUGUAGCCCGUUUGCCUUCAACUUUGCAGCCUAGGAAAAAUAGUUUGACAUAACUUUGGCAGUUUAGUUUUAUCAAUACUGGGCUAUAGCCUAUAGCGCCACUAUAAUGGGGGAGUAGAAGUGCCAAU